rnacentral:rRNA from 1 species
UACGUAGGCAGCAAGCGUUGUUCGGAAUUACUGGGCGUAAAGAGUGUGUAGGCGGUGCUCCAAGUCUGGUGUGAAAUCUCCCGGCUUAACUGGGAGGGUGCAUUAGAAACUGGAAUGCUAGAGGAUGGGAGAGGUAAGCGGAAUUCCUGGUGUAGCGGUGAAAUGCGUAGAUAUCGGUAGGAACACCAGUGGCGAAGGCGGUUUCCUGGAGCCCACUUGACGCUGAGACGCGAAAGCUGGGGGAGCAAACGGG